UGCAAGUCGACGAUGAUGCCCAGCUUGCUGGGCGGAUUAGUGGCGAACGGGUGAGUAAUACGUGAGUAACCUGCCCUUGACUCUGGGAUAAGCCUGGGAAACUGGGUCUAAUACUGGAUACUACCUCUUACCGCAUGGUGGGUGGUGGAAAGGGUUUUACUGGUUUUGGAUGGGCUCACGGCCUAUCAGCUUGUUGGUGGGGUAAUGGCUCACCAAGGCGACGACGGGUAGCCGGCCUGAGAGGGUGACCGGCCACACUGGGACUGAGACACGGCCCAGACUCCUACGGGAGGCAGCAGUGGGGAAUAUUGCACAAUGGGCGGAAGCCUGAUGCAGCGACGCCGCGUGAGGGAUGACGGCCUUCGGGUUGUAAACCUCUUUCAGUAGGGAAGAAGCGAGAGUGACGGUACCUGCAGAAGAAGCGCCGGCUAACUACGUGCCAGCAGCCGCGGUAAUACGUAGGGCGCAAGCGUUGUCCGGAAUUAUUGGGCGUAAAGAGCUCGUAGGCGGUUUGUCGCGUCUGCUGUGAAAGCCCGGGGCUCAACCCCGGGUCUGCAGUGGGUACGGGCAGACUAGAGUGCAGUAGGGGAGACUGGAAUUCCUGGUGUAGCGGUGAAAUGCGCAGAUAUCAGGAGGAACACCGAUGGCGAAGGCAGGUCUCUGGGCUGUUACUGACGCUGAGGAGCGAAAGCAUGGGGAGCGAACAGGAUUAGAUACCCUGGUAGUCCAUGCCGUAAACGUUGGGCACUAUGUGUGGGGGACAUUCCACGUUUUCCGCGCCGUAGCUAACGCAUUAAGUGCCCCGCCUGGGGAGUACGGCCGCAAGGCUAAAACUCAAAGGAAUUGACGGGGGCCCGCACAAGCGGCGGAGCAUGCGGAUUAAUUCGAUGCAACGCGAAGAACCUUACCAAGGCUUGACAUUCACCGGACCGCCCCAGAGAUGGGGUUUCCCUUCGGGGCUGGUGGACAGGUGGUGCAUGGUUGUCGUCAGCUCGUGUCGUGAGAAUGUUGGGUUAAGUCCCGCAACGAGCGCAACCCUCGUUCUAUGUUGCCAGCACGUGAUGGUGGGGACUCAUAGGAGACUGCCGGGGUCAACUCGGAGGAAGGUGGGGAUGACGUCAAAUCAUCAUGCCCCUUAUGUCUUGGGCUUCACGCAUGCUACAAUGGCCGGUACAAAGGGUUGCGAUACUGUGAGGUGGAGCUAAUCCCAAAAAGCCGGUCUCAGUUCGGAUUGAGGUCUGCAACUCGACCUCAUGAAGUCGGAGUCGCUAGUAAUCGCAGAUCAGCAACGCUGCGGUGAAUACGUUCCCGGGCCUUGUACACACCGCCCGUCAAGUCACGAAAGUUGGUAACACCCGAAGCCGGUGGCCUAACCCCUUGUGGGAGGAGCCGUCGA
rnacentral:rRNA from 1 species